UUGACUGUCGCAUAUAGGAAGUGCAACUGAUUGCUAGUCAGAGGGUCAUGGUUCGAUUCCAUAGGGUCAAU
rfam:Paramecium tetraurelia chromosome undetermined scaffold_138, whole genome shotgun sequence.